rnacentral:rRNA from 2 species
UCAGGCCUAUGGUCAUACCUGAAUGUUCCUGAUCUCAUCUGAUCUCCCAAGCUAAGCAGGGUCAGGCUUGGUUAGUAAUUGGAUGGGAGAUUAAUCAUCACAUCAGUUUCAGUUUUAA